UUUGUUUAUACAACAUAAAAUAAUAUAUAUCUUUGUUUAAUCCAUGUCAAUAUAUAUAUUAUUUUUUAUAUUAUUUGAAUGUUUUAUUCAAAUAAUAUAAACAUUUAAAAAAUAAAUUCAAGGUUUAAAGUAUAAAAUAAAAACCCUGGCAAUAAC
rnacentral:misc_RNA from 1 species